CCUCUGUGCUUAGCACCAGCACCAUCCUGUUCCUGUUUCUCUUUGUUUCACCACGUGGCCAUCACCCACGAGGCAGGCAAAGCCAUCACCAUCAAAAUCAGCUUCAAACCAGCACAUGUUGAUAUGCCACAGGCACAGGAUGGUAUCCAGAGAGACUUGGACAUGCUGCAGAGGCGAUACCAGAUGAACCUCAGGAGGUUCAACAAGGGCUAAAACUUGUGUGGAUAAGGGGAAGUACCUAGAUGGCAGGAAAUGAUUGAGUUAAUGCUCCAUGAUCUGUACUACCCCUGCCUGCUGCAUGUGUGUGUCAAGUUCACUUCAUAUUGGCUAUGUUGCAAAAAACCCAGCAGGCAACUCCCAUUCAACAAGCCCAAAGUUAAUCAUAGCAACUUGAAAUAAGAGGAGGACAAUUUGGCACAUGAUACCUGCACCCUUGGCAGCUUUUAUCUCAGAAGACUCUUCUGCCAUGUAAGUUUGUGAAGGUCCUUGUGAGAUGAAGCUGAAGGAGCUGGGACUGAUUAACCAGGAACAGACUCCAAAUGCCUGCAUGUGAUUGGCCUGCAGAGCCAGCGUGACGUCAUGCUGAGACUGCCCAUGGCAGACAGCCUGCCUGCCCCUGAGAGCCUCCUGCUCAGACCAGAAGCCCUGGAGAUGCACAGCUCAUCCAGAGGAGCCAGGAGACAAGGUCAGAGAUUGUCUGCCUCCUUUCCCCAGAAGCCUGGGAAGAAUCAAAUCUCAGUGACCAACAAGACAGAGCUCCACAUGCUUUGGGUAAUGUCUGAUUUAGGCUUUGUGAGGAAAUGCUCAAAAGCCUCUUGCAGUAUAAUAUUUGCAUUUGUCACUUUAAGAAUUAAGUGCUCAGGUUUUGCCUGGGCCCUGCCUGUAUAAAUUUCCAGCCUGUGUGUUUUUUGAACCUGUGAACAAGUUUCUGGUGAGUUUUAAUGUCAAUAAACAGUUUUCAUA